AUCUUUUUGUAGUGUAAGUUUGAUCAUUGGAUUUUCAUGCUCACGUGUGAUACGUGCCUCCUUCAAACCUUGUUAUGACACUAGCACAUUAUUCAUAUGACA
rfam:Homo sapiens chromosome 10, GRCh38 reference primary assembly.